rnacentral:lncRNA from 1 species
UUCGCUAGUAUGACCUACCUAAGUUUAUUUGAUAUUUAAUUGGUCGGUCAGAGUAGAGUGAUAAUAUGCUACAUGUCAAUUAACCCUUGUUUUGUGGCAGUAUUUGAAAAUGACAUCCGAGAAUGUUAAGAAUAUCAAUAGAGCACAGGAGACCGUUGAGUCACCACAAAUCAACACCCAGGAUAAUGUGCAUCAGGAAGGCAAUAAUCC